rnacentral:rRNA from 1 species
UACGAAGGGUGCAAACGUUGCUCGGAAUUAUUGGGCGUAAAGCGCACGUAGGCGGCUAUCUAAGUCGGAUGUGAAAUCCCUCGGCUUAACCAAGGAAGUGCACCCGAAACUGGAUAGCUUGAGUACAGAAGAGGAUCGCGGAAUUCCCGGUGUAGAGGUGAAAUUCGUAGAUAUUCGGAAGAACACCAGUGGCGAAGGCGGCUCACUGGCCCGGUACUGACGCUGAGGUGCGAAAGCGUGGGGAGCAAACAGG